GUACCGCCCUAGUUCUGACCGUAAACUAUGCCAUCUAGCGAUCCGAUGGGGUAUUGUUGCCUUGUCGAGGAGCUUCCCGGAAACGAAAGUCUUUCGGUUCCUGGGGUAGUAUGGUUGCAAAGCUGAAACUUAAAGAAAUUGACGGAAUGGCACCACCAGGAGUGGAGCCUGCGGCUUAAUUUGACUCAACACGGGAAAACUCACCCGGCCCGGACACCGUAAGGAUUGACAGAUUGAAAGCUCUUUCUCGAUUUGGUGGUUGGUGGUGCAUGGCCGUUCUUAGUUGGUGGAGCGAUUUGUCUGGUUUAUUCCGAUAACGAGCGAGACUCUAGCCUGCUAAAUAGUGGCUGGAUUUUCACGUCCAGUCUACUUCUUAGAGGGAUAAGCGGUGUUUAGCCGCACGAGAUUGAGCGAUAACAGGUCUGUGAUGCCCUUAGAUGUCCGGGGCUGCACGCGCGCUACAAUGGAAGAAUCAGCUGGCCUAUCCAUUGCCGAAAGGCAUUGGUAAACCGUUGAAACUCUUCCGUGACCGGGAUAGGGAAUUGUAAUUAUUUCCCUUGAACGAGGAAUUCCUAGUAAGUGUGAGUCAUCAGCUCACGCUGAUUACGUCCCUG
rnacentral:rRNA from 1 species